AUGAUUGAGAGCUACCAAGAUGUGUCCUGGCUCCAACCUGUGGCACCAGAAGUCAACCAGGAAGAGCAAACUUUACCAGCAUGCAGAGGAGACACCAGGAAGGCUUCCCUUGAUCUCCCAAGAUCUCUUAAAGAUUCAUGUCUGGAGGGGCAGCUAGGUGAUGCAGUGGAUGGAGCACCAGCCUGGAAGUCAGGAGGGCCUGAGUUCAAAUCCAGCCUCAGACCAAACACUUGACAUCUACUAGCUGUGUGACCUUGGGCAAGUCACUUAACUGUGAUUGCCUCACCCUCCCUCCCAAAAAAAAGAUUCCUGUCUGGGUGCCUGCAUUAUACUACUUUGGUUCUUGAAAUUUGUUCAUUCUUCCAGAAGCAAUUAUCAUGAUGGAAGCCAUUCAUUUACUAGUAGGAUCAGCUUAGAAUAGAAUCAGAUGAAGAGAUUGAAGAGAACCUGAAAAUUCUCUUGGAAAUAAGCCACAGGAUUGGGGCAGGCCCAAGAGGAAAGAGCAGGAGUGCCAGAGAUGAGCUUUGCUGACUUCAUAGCUUUGCCUAAGGCUGAUCUUGGAACCCAGGCAACAGAUAUUUUACUGGAACCCAAUCUGGGCAUGCACAAACAGUUUAGUCCUGCCUGGGAGGCAGGAGACCUGGGUUCUUAUCCCAGCUCCCUUAACCUACUGUCUAAUCUUUGAACCCUCACCCUCAAUGGGCCUCAUUAUCCUAUAAGACGAGGUAUCUAAGCUCUCUUCCAGUUCUAAUGUUCAUAGGAACAUGGGUUUAACUGGGCAUACCUUUUGACCCAGCAAUACCACUACUAGGUCUGUAUCCCAAAGAAAUCAUAAAAAAGGGAAAAGGGCACAUUUAUACAAAAAUGUUUAUAUCAGCUCUUUUUUGUGGUAGCAAAGUAUUAGCAAUUAAGGGGAUACCUAUCCAUUAAGGAAUGGCUGAACAAGUUGUGGUAUGUGGUUGUAAUGGAAUACUAUUGUAUUCAUACUGUUGUACGAUCAGAGAGAUUUCAGAAAAGCUUGGAAAGCCUUACAUGAACUAAUGCAAAGUGAAGUGAGCAGAAACAGGAGAACACUGUGCCCAGUAACAGCAACAUUGUGUGAGAAUCAACCAUGGUAGACUUAGCUCUUCUCAGCAAUACGAUGAUCCAGGACAAUUCACAAGGACUUAUGAUGAAAAGUGCUAUCUAUUGAUAAUCGUUUGAGAUCAGUUGAGCCCCAAUAAGGGCCAAAAACCUGAAUUAAUCUUUUUCUCUCUGAGUGAACUAAAAACACUCCUUCCUGUGUCAGCAAAUUUCAGGACCAAAUGGAGCUCACCAACGUUCUUCCUGUUCGUCAUCACUGAGCCCAGGAUGUCUGGGACCAAACAUUCUCUUGAUUAAUGAGACUUUUCCUUGUUUUGUAUCCUAUAGACAUAUGUUAUGUAGAGGAAACACAUAUCCCGGACCUAUAAUUUUGAUUGAUACUUUGACAUUCUUCUAUUGUAUUUACAAUCUAUGCAAUUAGGUAACUUCCUUUUUUUAUGUUGUAUGGAGGCUAUACCUUUUUUUUGGUAACACAGACAUCCUGAGUCUGAUCAUUCUAAACUGUAUAAAACCCCUUUCAUUUUGCUUAAUCUUGGAGUCAGAAUCACAUUCUGGCUUCCAUGUUAACAUGAUUUGCUAUCUAAAAGGGAAUAAACUAUAUCAUCAUGUAUCA
ensembl:lncRNA